rnacentral:rRNA from 1 species
ACACAUGCAAGUCGCGGGGCAGCAUGGGGGUUGCUUGCAAUCCCCGAUGGCGACCGGCGCACGGGUGAGUAACGCGUAUCCAACCUGCCCUUCACCACGGGAUAACCCGGCGAAAGUCGGACUAAUACCGUAUGUUGUCCAUUGACGGCAUCCGAUUUGGACGAAAGGCUUKGCGGUGARGGAUGGGGAUGCGUCCGAUUAGCCAGACGGCGGGGUAACGGCCCACCGUGGCUACGAUCGGUAGGGGUUCUGAGAGGAAGGUCCCCCACACUGGAACUGAGACACGGUCCAGACUCCUACGGGAGGCAGCAGUGAGGAAUAUUGGUCAAUGGGCGUAAGCCUGAACCAGCCAAGUAGCGUGCAGGAUGACGGCCCUAUGGGUUGUAAACUGCUUUUAUGCGGGGAUAAAGUGGCCCACGUGUGGGUUUUUGCAGGUACCGCAUGAAUAAGGACCGGCUAAUUCCGUGCCAGCAGCCGCGGUAAUACGGAAGGUCCGGGCGUUAUCCGGAUUUAUUGGGUUUAAAGGGAGCGUAGGCCGCGCCUUAAGCGUGUUGUGAAAUCCGGGUGCUCAACAUCCGGCUUGCAGCGCGAACUGGGGCGCUUGAGUGCGCUGAAAGUAGGCGGAAUUCGUGGUGUAGCGGUGAAAUGCUUAGAUAUCACGAGGAACUCCGAUUGCGAAGGCA